UGACUUGUCGCAGCCUUCGAAAUCUGUACAUUGUAUUUUUUUUGCUAUUUAACAAAUAAGGCACUUCCCAGCAAGCAUUUGGAAGACUGUUUUAACAGAAAUCGUCUUGAUGAGUCUUCUUUGAGUCCCCUUGACGAUUAAAAAACGACUAAUCUCCCGGGCGAUCGAAAGAAGACUCAUAAAUGACCCUUCCAUAUGCUCAAAGUAUGAUUACUUUAAAAUACAAAAACGAAAUGCAAAGCAAUCGCCAAAUGAGCAUGCAGGUGAUUAAAAUAUAAUCAUUGCUUGGUUUUGCUUUGUUCCUAUGCAAUCAUAUUCUGCUCGCUUGGCUGAUCGAAAAUCGAUUCUUAUCUAAGCUUAUAUCUAAGUUAAACGGUACUUUUUCUUAAGCACAAGCCGAAAUGUGCAAAUUUUGUCAUUCGAGCGUGAAAGUGCAAGUGAAGUGCAAGUGCGAAGUGCAUACAAAUAAAUUAUAUCAAUUAUAUCAAAUACAAAUAAAAAGGUGAUUAUAGCUGUGAUCAGAAAAGUUUUUUCGGACAAGGUAGCUUCCGAAUACAGCUGGAAGGGGACAAAAAUUAAACCAUCAGCAGAAAGGUGUUACAUUAUAGCCGUAAUAAAAAAUAUUGCUAAUGAAAAAUUUACAUGCACGGAUAAGGAUUUAAAUACGGUGCUACAAAAGCAUUUUGUCCAUGCCAAUGACAAACUGGCAAAGCGUAGGCGCUUAGAAUAAUAUAAAACAUACUUUCUAUUUCUGUUACUAUUUUUGUUAUUUUUUGGUUUGAACUU